AGAUGAUUAUUGAGUUUUGCAAGUAAAGAGUUUAAUUAGACCAAAAAAUUUCAUAGCACAUUUUCUAUAAAAGAUCUCAUGAUAAAUGUUAAAAACAUAUAGUGCCAUCAAAAACUUCUGCAAUCUGUGAUUUGCAGAACAACUCAAAGAAAAUCAAUAAAUGUAAUGUAAUUCAUCAAAAAUGUGCAAAGGAACAGAAAAAUCAAGCAACAGAGUCCACAGCAACUUAUUUUAAGAAAUCCUCUCAUAGUAGCUCUGUGUAUUACUUGUUCAAUGAGUUGGAGUUGCAUUUUCACUGUUUCUCUUUUGAGCAACGUUGUGGGAGUUUCACCAAGUUGCAGCACCAAGAGAAUGAACAUUUGCUCUCCACCUAGAUGUACAAGGUAAAAUACAAUUAGAGACUAUUCGCUAUAAGCUGUUCUAUUAGGUUGUGAAACCACAUGCAGCCUACACAAGCAUAAGCUUCGACAUAUAAGAAGAUCAAAUGUAAGGUACAUAAGCUUAGACAUAUUAGAGCAAUUGCAUAAAAGGAAAGCUAGAUCCCGGAAUGCAUAUACCUUUAGAAACAGUUCAGAAUUCUUCCUUCUAGGCCAACCAAUUGUAAAGUAGCUUCUUUCAGGAGAAUGGUGCAUUUGUAAGUAUCAGAAAUUGAAGACAUUAAAACCACCCAUUUUUCAAUGUAAAGCUGUCAGACCAUGACGACUCAUUAAUAUUGGAAAUUUGAUGUAAACUGCACACUUGCUCUGUGCCUAUACAAAAGUGGAUGCUAAUAGAGAUUGCUUGAUGCACUUUUUUCCAUAGUUUGUAAAACACAUUGACUCAAAGCUAUUCAUGUUGUUAAAGUAUCCUGUUGCUUCCACAUCCAAGAGCAAAUAUGAACUUUUCCAUAUCUCUCCAUGUCUAUUUCCAAGAGUUAAUUCAAAAUGCAGAUUUUGAUUGCCUCUGAAAAUGCAAAAUUGAUUUUAAAUGUCUAUUCCAUUCCAACCAGAUGGAGAGAACUACAUCUUGCAGAAGUUGCUGAUGAUCCUUUACACCGGAAUUAACCUUAGCUUUGAUACCUUGCAAUACUUGAAAAAGGAGAUAUGUUGAAGAUAAGCUUCAAGACAAAAUCACUUGAAUCCUGUACAAAGUUAAAAAGAAAAACCAAAAUAUCAAAUGAUAAAUUGCCUGUGACGGCUAAUCCAUUGCAAAUAUGUAGCGGAUGAGUAGGCCUAUUGAAGGCAAUUACAACUUCUAUAUAUCAACUGGCACUGGACAAGCUUCAUGUGCUUCUAUUCCCUGCGGACGGUCAGAACUUGAAGAAUCAUAACAUUUGGAGUUGUAUCAUUAAUCAAACUGAUAUGAGCCAUUCUUAAUUACUUAAUUAGUGUGAAACAAUUGAAAUAACUCCACACAAAGUAGAAUUAAACAUGAAACGAAUUGGAAAACUUCAAAAAGAUCCUCCACUAGAAUUGUAGUUUAAAAGUACCAACCAUCUUUAACUAUAUAGAUAUAUAUGUAAAAUAUUCUCUAGAUGUUCAAAUGCAGCGGGAGGCUGAAACUGGUAAGAGAUUAAAGUUCUUAAACUGAGCAUAAUAUUUCAUUUUGAAGUUUUGAUAUCUGCCUAUGAACAUUAAGGUGAAAAAAAGGAAGUUUUGCUGUACCUUUCCAAAAUCCAAAAGUAGAAAAAGGUUUGUUGUGUGCACUAGCAACAUAUAAUUCCAAGAAUGGAGCUAGUAAUUUGUUCUAUCAUCCAGUGGAUUGUCAGAGCUUAGUAGAAUCAUUCCUCUACAGUUGCACGUCUGUAUAUAGAAUGAGAACAAAAGUUGUUAACUUUGAAAGAUAAAGUGAAGACAGAAUAGAGUAAGCUGUGGAUCAAUUAUACUAUAUAAAGAGAAGUAGCGGCAGCCCUUUUGAAUUGUCCACUCAUCAAUCCAUAUAUUUGGGAUGUGAGAAAUGUUCUGCCAAAGUGGUGAUUUGACGCAUUCCUUUGAGGUAGCCCAUCCAGGCUGGCAAAACAGUCAAAUUACAACAAUUUCCUAUCUGGAGACACUGCAAUUUGGUAAAGUAUUGAAGCUCCAUUUUUAGAGACUCCAGAUCCUUCUCUUUUGUGCACCACAUUAUGGCAUAAAAGAGAUUAACCAAGGACUUUGCCAGGGAUUUAUCACGAAUCAAAGAGAUUAAACCACCAGUUUAGAAACCAACACCAGAUUUCAAACCUUUGUAAUACUGGAAAAGCGAAAUAUUUUGAAGAUUUGUCGCCCUUAUUAGGAAGCUUCAAGUUCAAAUUGCUUCAUUCCUUCCUAAAAUCCGAAAGUAGCAAAAGUUUCCUUCUGCACAACGGCACCAGUUUAUUACAUAAAAUAAAUGCAUCCUGGUGCUAUCAACUGAAGGCACUGGAUGAUUUCAGAGUUAAGCUAGCAAUAUUUUCCAUUAUCCAAUGGAUAGUCAAAGAUUAGUGAAAUUAUCCUGCGACAUCUGAAUAUAUUAUCAGAAUAAAAGUUGUUAACUUUUAAAGAUGAAAGUGAAGACAGGACAAGGUAGGCAGUGGAUUUUACUUUGGCUCUGACAUUAU
rnacentral:misc_RNA from 1 species